rnacentral:rRNA from 1 species
AUUGAACGCUGGCGGCAGGCCUAACACAUGCAAGUCGAACGAGUGGCGGACGGGUGAGUAAUGUCUGGGAAACUGCCCGAUGGAUGGGGAUAACUACUGGAAACGGUAGCUAAUCCCGCAUACCAUCGGAUGUGCCCAGAUGGGAUUAGCUAGUUGGUGGGGUAAAGGCCUACCAAGGCGACGAUCCGUAACUGGUCUGAGAGGAUGAUCCGGCAAACUGGAACGGAGACACGGUCCAGACUCCUACGGGAGGAAGCAGUGGGGAAUAUUGGACAAUGGGCGAAAGCCUGAUCCAGCCAUGCCGCGGGUGUGAAGAAGGUCUUCGGAUUGUAAAGCACUUUAAGUUGGGAGGCGUUACCCGCAGAAGAAGCACCGGCUAACUCCGUGCCAGCCGCCGCGGUAAUAC